UACGGAGGGAGCUAGCGUUGUUCGGAAUUACUGGGCGUAAAGCGCGCGUAGGCGGACCUGCAAGUCGAGGGUGAAAGCCCGAGGCUCAACCUCGGAACUGCCUUCGAUACUGCGGGUCUCGAGUCCGGGAGAGGUGAGUGGAAUUCCUAGUGUAGAGGUGAAAUUCGUAGAUAUUAGGAAGAACACCAGUGGCGAAGGCGGCUCACUGGCCCGGUACUGACGCUGAGGCGCGAAAGCGUGGGGAGCAAACAGG
rnacentral:rRNA from 1 species